rnacentral:tRNA from 1 species
GAGGGUACAGCUCAGUGGUAGAGCGCAUGCUUAGCAUGCACAAGGUCCUGAGUUCAAUCCCUAGUAUCUCCA